ACGUAGGGUGCAAGCGUUGUCCGGAUUUACUGGGCGUAAAGCGCUCGUAGGCGGUUUGUCAAGUGUGAAGUGAAAUCUCCAGGGCUCAACCCGGAAACUGCUUUUCAUACUGGCCAGCUGGAGGGACGCAGGGGUGACUGGAAUUCCCGGUGUAGCGGUGAAAUGCAUUGAUAUCGGGAGGAACUCCAACAGCGAAGGCAGGUCACUGGGCGUUUCCUGACGCUGAGGCGCGAAAGCGUGGGUAGCGAACAG
rnacentral:rRNA from 1 species